AAUAUAUAUUUCUAUUUAUUUUCUUCUGUUUACGCGAAAUACAAGCAGCAAGAACAAGGGAUAUGGCGGAGGAAUGCUUUUUAAACAUCUUAGCGAUGGGCUGUUUACCUGCUGGAUACUUGCAAUCUCAUUUGCAAAAGAGAUGACACGCACACUGCCACUUUAAGGUAUUUCUUUUCUGAGGAAUUAUGUAGCAAAACGAAGAGGAGCCGUGCAAAAUUUCGGGCAGC